GACGAACGCUGGCGGCGUGCCUAAUACAUGCAAGUAGGACGCAGUUGCGAACGGGUGAGUAACGCGUAGGUAACUGCCUAUUAGAGGGGGAUAACUAUUGGAAACGAUAGCUAAUACCGCAUACUAGUAGAUGGACCUGCGUUGUAUUAGCUAGUAGGUAGGGUAAUGGCCUACCUAGGCGACGUUACAUAGCCGAGCUGAGAGGGUGAUCGGCCACACCGGGACUUAGAGACGGCCCAGACUCCCACGGGAGGCAGCAGGAGGGAAUCUUCGGCAAUGGGGGGAAACCUGACCGAGCAACGCCGCGUGAGUGAAGAAGGUUUUCGGAUCGUAAAGGUCUGUUGUUAAGGAAGCGGUACUUAACGAGAAAGGGCCGGCUAACUACGUGCCAGCAGCCGCGGUAAUAC
rnacentral:rRNA from 1 species